CUUUGACGUUCAAGCUGAAUCGCCCCGAUCACCCCGCGACUAUUUCCUUUUUUCUCAGCCACAGUACGAAUUUCGGCCACAGUCUAAACAUUCGUACAGCUGUGCGUAAGUGUGCAACGUUCUGUGCCGAGUAGCAAAUCCAUCCCCGCAUCCAUCACGUCCACUGCAUGCUAUUGCAUCGGAUCUGCAUCUGCCAUUUCCGCAUCGGAAUGGACAAAGCCUGGGUGUUAGACGACCGCGAUUCCUAGUUCGACACGCUCCUCGUGGCUCAUCACUGCCAUCUCUACAGGAUAUGACGGCAUUGCAGAAUUCAUAAGCCGGUAGACAUUGGCCAUUGUUACAGCGGAAGGCUCCCUCAGGACACUCUGCAGUAAAUAAGUAAUGAAUUUUGCCGUUAGGAUUUAGCACGGUAUCUACAUACAUGCUAUCUUCGUCUUCUCCGUCUGGGCAAUCCCGGUUCCCGUCGCAGAGACCUGCCCUGGAAACGCAUAAUCCACUACGUUUACAUCGGAAGGCUUGAGCUGGACAACGUGCCAGGGUACACUCCUCGUCGGAACCG